CGCACCUUGCGCCCUUUGGUAUUCCGAAGGGCACGCCUGUUUGAGUGUCAUGUUAACCUCAAUUCAACAGCUUUGCGGCUGUUUGAGUUGGAUUUGGGAGUCUUGCUGGCCCUUACCGGGGUUCAGCUCUCCUUGAAUGCAUGAGUGGGCAUCUGGCUCGCAUUGCUGGUGUGAUAGUCUUUCAUCAUUGGCAAUGCUUGCCUAACGGGCUUGCUUUCAAACCGUCUUCUUAAGGAGACAACUUUUGACAUAUUUGACCUCAAAUCAGGUGGGACUACCCGCUGAACUUAA
rnacentral:misc_RNA from 1 species